AUUGAACGCUGGCGGCAGGCCUAACACAUGCGAGUCGAACGGUAACAGGAAGAAGCUUGCUUCUUUGCUGACGAGUGGCGGACGGGUGAGUAAUGUCUGGGAAACUGCCUGAUGGAGGGGGAUAACUACUGGAAACGGUAGCUAAUACCGCAUAACGUCGCAAGACCAAAAAGGGGGACCUUCGGGCCUCUUGCCAUCGGAUGUGCCCAGGUGGGAUUAGCUAGUAGGUGGGGUAACGGCUCACCUAGGCGACGAUCCCUAGCUGGUCUGAGAGGAUGACCAGCCACACUGGAACUGAGACACGGUCCAGACUCCUACGGGAGGCAGCAGUGGGGAAUAGUGCACAAUGGGCGCAAGCCUGAUGCAGCCAUGCCGCGUGUAUGAAGAAGGCCUUCGGGUUGUAAAGUACUUUCAGCGGGGAGGAAGGGAGUAAAGUUAAUACCUUUGCUCAUUGACGUUACCCGCAGAAGAAGCACCGGCUAACUACGUG
rnacentral:rRNA from 1 species